UUUUUCAUUAGAAACAAAGUUUUAUUUAAGGUAGACACAACAGUGCAGAACAGAAACACCAUUUCACUUUUACAUACAGACACAGCAGCCUUGGUGUUCAGCCUUUCAACUCUCCUUAAAUAUCAGCAUGGUCAGAAAGCAGGGCGUGGACAGGUGACUUAUGUAGAAAUAUGAAAUAGAAUGGUGAUAAUCACCCAAAUACAGAAAUUUUGAGGCUCUUGGUUUUUAACAUUUUCUAAGACUAAUUUGUUCCCAUCCUUCAAUCUCUGUGGAAUAGAAACCAAAUCAUUCUUACCAAAUGACACAGAAAGAAAAAAAACAAAUACUAUUUUUCUUUAAAAGGUUUGAAGAAAUGUAGUCAUUAAAAAGAAUGUAAUUUUUGCCUAGAGCACCACUUUAUGGAAUACCAUUAAACUGUCAUUACUGUGCUUUUAAAAAAGUCAACUUGUUAAAGAGGAGCUGAUGGCUUCAGUUUUUGUAGAAAACCCUUGGCACACUGCAGAAUUCUUUUUUCCUCUUCUGAUGAGGCACAGAGAAAGUAUUCAAGGCAUGAGAAACUUUUACAACUUUCAGGAACAAUGACGUGCUUUAAGAGACAAGUAUUAUUACAGCAAAAAAGAGAACCCCCAAAGACAAUACAUUUCAUCUAAAGCAGGCAGGACAAACCAAUCACGGAUGAGCGUGUAUUAUAUUCCAUAAACAACACAAUGUCAUCUUUGCCAAACUUUUUCAAAGGUUUUACUUUACUUGUGAAAAACAGGACAAAAACGCCAAUGACUGCCCAGGAGGAGCCAUUUCAUCCUAGUACCCUCAGAUGAAAUUACUCAGAAUUGCACAUUUCAGUCAACAUCCCUUUUCAAAUUAUUCUGGGAAAUUACAGAGACCUUUAUAACUAAAAUUGCCCUGAUCUCUGGGAGGCAACACUGAAAACUUGUAUUGAACAUGGAAAGGAUCGCAAUUCACUCCAAAAUAAAAAGCUAAGAACUGGCACUACUUACAUGCAGAAAUCUAUCCAUUUGCAGAACAGGUCCUUUCUCCAGCAAGAGGCUAAAUAAGCCUCCCCUCCCCUGACCUGCAGAGGACCAUUUGCCUUUGAAAAUCAAAUUACAGUUGUCCACAAACUAGGAUUUAUUAUAACGGUGUGUUCUUCUGUUCAAGUAUUUACAGAAUGCCUAGUCCAAGCCAGUCACUGUUCUCCUGGAAUUUGUGAUACGGCAAUGGGUUUAAAAUGAAAGAAGCAAAAGAAACCAACAUGCGUGCAUUUUAAAAGCUGUGCAACAAUCCAGCUCUAAGAGUUGAACAGUUCUCACAGGGUCAGUGCCUGCAGUACCCUGCCACUGUCCCAGCUUAGCUCAUCCUUGCAAAGGAGAGGGUGCUCAGAACAGCAAGCUUCCACAAAAGAAACACACACACCAAACAGGACCUGCCACACAAUGUGGCACAUUUCUCCAUUUCUCCCAGGACACUUACGAAGUAGGACAAAGCAUCGUGCGGGUCAGAGGUGUGCCCACCCUCCCCCAGCCCAGCAAGGCUGGCCCCAGGGGACAAUGCCGCGAUCUGGAGGCUGAGAGGACGCAGUCCGCGCGGACCCCUGAUCAGGCUCAGUAGAUGGAGAAGUUAACUUUCCUAGUAACGCUUUUCCUCAAGUCAAAAUGUAUGGCCAGAUGUGCCCAUUAGCCUCUUAUCACCAUGCUUG
rnacentral:lncRNA from 1 species